AGGCUGGAGACUUGGGGACUGGGGACUCGGGGACUGGGGGACUUGGGGGAAGGACGGGGGCGGGAGGAGUGAAGCGAGCUCUGCUAAGAAACCAAAUCCGCAGAGGUUCCAUCACCUGAUAAGACUCGGUACCUGAGCCCCAGGCAGGUGGUGUCCUCAAGGGCAGGGGUGGACAGAGUGGUGGACCCACUGACCCUCCCCUGACACCUGUCAGGUCAUCCUCAAGUCGGCUGUGCCUUCAGGGGGAUAUGAAGGGAAGCCAAGGUUCCUUUUCCUUCACACACCCCACUCCUUUGUUUAGUGUGGGGGCAAAGGUCUCUCCUGGCCGUUCACUGGGAUCUAACAAAGAAGACGCCAGCCCCAGGAGAGAAAGUCACCACUUGGCAUUUCCUGGAGAAGGAAGCCAAGGCACAGAAUGGUUAAGCGGCUUGUUUGAACUGCGUGCCACUGAGACCUUCACGCCAGAGCCUGCUCGCAUAAUCCCUGAGCCACGCUGCCUCUCCUUUCAGCCAGGGGCUGUGUCAUUCCCUUUGUGCUCCAGGAUAGAGGAAAGCGUACAGACUGGUACCCCAGGAGCCGCUGCUCAGGAAAGCCCGGCAGGAAAUGCGUGUUGGGACUGA
rnacentral:lncRNA from 1 species